rnacentral:rRNA from 1 species
GAUGAACGCUGGCGGCGUGCCUAAUACAUGCAAGUCGAGCGAACAGAUGAGGAGCUUGCUCCUCUGACGUUAGCGGCGGACGGGUGAGUAACACGUUGAUAACCUACCUAUAAGACUGGGAUAACUUCGGGAAACCGGAGCUCAUACCGGAUAAUAUAUUGAACCUCAUGGUUCAAUAGUGAAAGACGGUUUUGCUGUCACUUAUCGAUGGAUCCGCGCCGCAUUAGCUAGUUGGUAAGGUAACGGUUUACCAAGGCAACGAUGCGUAGCCGACCUGAGAGGGUGAUCGGCCACACUGGAACGGAGACACGGUCCAGACUCCUACGGGAGGCAGCAGUAGGGAAUCUUCCGCAAUGGGCGAAAGCCUGACGGAGAAACGCCGCGUGAGUGAUGAAGGUCUUCGGAUCGUAAAACUCUGUUAUUAGGGAAGAACAAAUGUGUAAGUAACUAUGCACGUCUUGACGGUACCUAAUCAGAAAGCCACGGCUAACUACGUG